UACAAAAUCAAGAACACACCUGCUGUCUGUGUAACUAAUCCUUCUGCCUUCUAACCCCCUGGCCGAUUCUCCAAACUCACCUUGAACAAAGCCUCCACUCAGUUCAUGAGAUCUAAGGCUAUACAUGUUGUGAUCGAUUUUCAGAGGCACUGGGAGACUAAAGCACAGCUGUGGAGAGUCUGAGAAAAGAUGAAUCACCAUCCAGAACUCUGAAAGCAGUGAGGGAUUUAACAAUUUUAAUUACGUAUGUCAUAUCCUAAACCAGAGAUGAUCAGAGGACACCAAUAUUCUGGAGAAUUCUGUUGAGACUACCUGAAUGAGGAGAAAAGUGAUUACUAACCUCUUCUGAUGCCCACUGUUAUUUUGGGGAAGGAAGAACAUUCUCCUUUCCAAAGCAAAUCAAUGACAUUUUCUCCUCAAGGCACUGAAUUCACAAGCAUUUAAUAUGUUUCUUCCACCACUACACAGACU